rnacentral:lncRNA from 1 species
UUUUUUUUUUUUUUAAUCCUUUUUAAGAAGGAACUGGUGCACAGGUUUCUUAUCUUGUCAUAGAUUGGUGCUCUGCAUCGUACAGUUCUAGCCAUAUUAGCUCCCCUUCUCUUCCUCAAAAAAUGCCAAUUUCCUCCUCAUCUUAUUCCCAAGGGGGCUUACCCUUAGUUGGGGGACUCAGCUCCAUCUCCAAAUGCCCCUCCUCAGGUUUUCCUGCACAGCCUCUCUAAAGCAGCCACACUCAACCUCAGUGCUCCCCGUCACAUGAGUUUUUUCCUUUCCCAACAUUGAUCAUCUUUUUGUUUAUCUGUACACUUGUUUUCUGUCCUCCUUAUUCACCGCUAAACCCAAAGCCUCCAGCUCAGCCAUGGUACUUGGAGGCUCUCUGACUUGAGCUGAAUAAAUGAAUUGGGGGGCAGAGAGUGAAGCACAGACAUGUAUGGCUUAUUCUACAUAUCGUUGCUGCUGUGGCACAGGGGGAUUAAGAAUCUGACUGCAGCAGCUCAGGUUACUGUGGAAGCACGGGUUCAAUCUCUGGCCCAGCACAGUGGGUUAAAGGAGGCCAUGUUGUAACAGCUGCAGCUCAGAUUCAAUCCCUGGCCUGGGAAUUUCCAUAUGCUGUGGGUGCAGCCAUUAAAAAAAAAAAAAGCAAUGACUUCAUUCCCCCUCCAUAGCCUCCUGUGAGAGCCCUAGUACUGACUGUUAGGCAUCACGUGGUGUUUUUCCAUCUUGUGCCAAGGCCAUGUGAUGGGAAGCUUGUUAAAGUCAUCAGGUAAGUGUCAUGGCAUCAAAGCUUCAAAUGACUCUUUAAAUCAUCCAAAAAAGCCCAGCCCCUGCUCAACUGGUGCUCAAAAACUGAGCCAUCUCUUCCGACUGAAACAAAAAUCUUGCUGGUGGAACAGUAACAGAUAACAGGGCCUGAGUGGCUACAUUGUAUAAUGGCUGCUGUUCUUCCUAUCCUGCCUAGGCCCGCCUACACCUGGAAUCUAAAUUCUCCUUUGGCUUCACAAGAGUCAAAAGUUAGAUGCUACUGGGCCUGGUGUUUAGAGUAGCAGAGACUCUGGAAAACCUGAAAGCCCAUGCUCCACCAAAAACCACAGGGAUUAGCCAGCUCUAACAAAAUAUGAUAAUGCAGGAAUACCAGCCCAGAAAUUGUCAGCUCUUCUUAAUUUCAAGAGAAAAUGGAAAUCUCCGUGAAGGGAUGAAGGUAGGGAAGGGAUGUAUAUGAGUAUGAAUAAACAUCAAAUUCAACUAAAAUCCUAUUUAUUUAGUUCAUACUGUGUCCAAGUCACUUUCCUAGGCAUCUAUACACAUCCUAGAUAUGGCUACUUAUCAAAAGUAAAAAGGAAUAAGAGCUGGGAUCCAUGGACUCCAAAAGCUUUAAUCUUACCAGAAAACCAAGACAUGUUCUUAAGUAAAUAGAGCCUAAGACAAUACAGGGAAUGCUAGGUAUUAAAUCAGUAAAUGUGUAUAAAGCACAAAACAGUCUUGACACAAGUGUUGUCUCCUAGUGUUGACUACUGUUAGUGGUACCAUGACAUUAUCAUUUCAACAAUGACCUCGGGAUUACUCUUGACCUAGGGAACUGGAGAAGGCCUGACUCAAAGUCUUGCACAUAUCAGGGACUCAACAGGCAGAACCUGAAUGAAUGAGUGCUUGGUGAGAGAACAGCCUAUGAGUUGGAACUUAAAGGAUUUUAACAUAUGAAGAAAGAAAGGAGGCUGAGGCAAAAGGAACGAGGGAGCUAGAAGGAUAAAGGCAUCCAGAAGCAUGAACAUAGUUCAUGUUAGUCGGAACAUGAGGAACAAGAAGAGGGGGCAAGGAUGGAAAAAUAAAGACACCAUGGAGAGCCCUGAAUGCUACCCAAGACUCCACGUGGACCACAACAGGCACCUGAAUUCCAUGUAAAGCCUGCUCACUGGCAUACAUGACUAUGCACACCAAAGGGAGACCCAUUUUCAAAAGCAGUUCCAAAUUUUAAGAAACUGAGGACACAGAGAACAGCGUUUCAUAUGCAUGCCUGCCUUUAUGUAGUUUACAUCAUGCUAUCCUAGCUAUACGACCUCGCUCAUUAUGUACUUAAGCCUUAUAGCUCUUCAUCGGAAAAUGGUGGUGACAUGUCUAUCAAGCACAAAUGGUGGAAAUGAGAUCAUCCACAUAAAUGCAGGGACUUUUGAAUUGCUUUACAAAGUAAAAUGCUCCAUAAAUGUUGCCUACUUGUUAUGAUUUGUGGUGAUGUAUUAUACAGAGAAGUAAAACAGAAGAAAAUGCCUUACUUGGGCCUCUAUGGUUUGUGAGCGGUGGUGUUGAUAUGGGUCCUGUGACGCAGUCUCAUAUGUUCUAGGAUGCUAUGUGCUGCCCCAGAGGCCAAGGGACAUUCACUCUGGGACUUGUAGCCCAGCCCUGUCCCCAGUGCCCCCCAGGCCUCAGGGCUCCUGCAGCCCCACCUCUCACCCUUGCACAAGGACAAAGGGGCCUCUCUCCACAGCCUAGGCACUCAAAGUGAGCAUACUGCUAUGAAACCACCGUCUGUCCCCACCAUACAGCCCCACCCCUCUCUCUAGUUACUCAUGAAUUCCUUCUCUAAGAAGGAAGGUCCCCUCUUGACACAAGAGUCUCAUUUCUCCAAAGCCACUUCCUCGGCACCAUGAGAAAAGAGAAGUGGUUUUUUGGUAGUUGUUCACAGAGGUGUAAAAUGUGUGGGUAUCUGGAGUUGAGUUAAGGUUGAGUCAUGGGGAACUUGUACCCAGACAUGAUUUUUAAUGAGUUGGGCCCACAAUACCACCAACAGAUUAAAAUAACUUUGAUUCUUAGAUGAUUUAAAUGGCCUCUGGUCAUCCAAAACAAUACUGAGGUUCACCACUUACCAGGUCAUAUAUGAGUGUGAACUCCUUGCAAAAAUCAAAUCAGACUUUAAAAUGGAGAGUUACAAGUUCCCACUGUGGCUCAGCGGGUUAAGAAUAUAACACAGUGUCUGUGAGGAUACGGGUUAGACCCCUCGCCUCCCUCAGUGGGUUAAGGAUCCAGUAUUGCUGCAAGCCAAGGUAUAGGUCACAGCUGUAGCUUGGAUCCAGAGCUAUGUCUGUGGCAUAGGCCUCAGCUAUAGCCCUGAUUCAACCCCUAGCCCAGGAACUUCCAUAUGCUGU